rnacentral:rRNA from 1 species
AAUAUUGGACAAUGGGGGCAACCCUGAUCCAGCCAUGCCGCGUGGGUGAAGGAGGUCUUCGGAUUGUAAAGCACUUUACGUUAGGAGGAAGGGCGUUAGGUUAAUACCCUGAAGUUUUGACGUUACCAACAGAAUAAGCCCCGGCUAACCCGUUGCUAGCAGCCGCGGUAAUACAGAGGGUGCAAGCGUUAAGCGGAAAUACUGGGCGUAAAGCGCGCGUAGGUGGUUCAGUAAGAUGGGUGUGAACUCCCCGGGCUUAACCUGGGAACUGCUUUCAUAACCGCUGAGCUAGAGUACGGUAGAGGGUAGUGGAAUUUCCUGUGUAGCGGUGAAAUGCGUAGAUAUAGGAAGGAACACCAGUGGCGAAGGCGACUACCUGGACUGAUACUGACACUGAGGUGCGAAAGCGUGGGGAGCAAACA